rnacentral:rRNA from 1 species
GGGUUCCUCUUGGGAGGCACCCGUGGGGAAUUUUUCGCAAUGGGGGAAAAUCUGAAGUAUAAACUCCGCGUGAGGGAAAAAAGCCUUUGGGUGGUAAAACUUUUUUGGGGGGGAAGAAGGUACUCGGGUUUAUAUCCCCGAGGGUGACGCUAUCUCUUGAGGAAACCCCGGCUAACUAUGUGCCAGCAGCCGCGGUAAUUCGUAGGGGGCAAGCGUUUUUCGGGUUUAUUGGGCGUAAAGAGCGUGUAGGCGGCUUCACAAGUCUGAUGUGAAAACUCCCGGCUCAACCUGGAAAUGUCGCUUGAAACUGUCUGGCUUGAGUCCGGGAGAGGGGAGUGGAAUUCCCGGUGUAGCGGUGAAAUGCGUAGAUAUCUGGAGGAACUCCCGUGGCGAAGGGGGCUUUCUGGGACGGGGGCAUCCGUUCUUUGCGAAAGGGGCG